GACGAACGCUGGCGGCGUGCUUAACACAUGCAAGUCGAACGGAAAGGCCUGCUUUCCCUUGUGGAUUGCGGGUACUCGAGUGGCGAACGGGUGAGUAACACGUGAGUGAUCUGCCCCCAACUUGGGUAUAAGCCUGGGAAACUGGGUCUAAUUCCCGAUAGGACUGCAGGGUGGUGCCUGUGGUGGAAAACGAUUUUCUAGUGGUUGGGGAUGAGCUCGCGGCCUAUCAGCUUGUUGGUGGGGUAAUGGCCUACCAAGGCGGCGACGGGUAGCCGGCCUGGGAGAGCGGACGUGCACAUUGGGACUGAGAUACGGCGCAGACUACUACGGGAGGACGCAGUGGGGAAUAUUGCACAAUGGGCAGUGGCCUGAUGCAGCGACGCCGCGUGGGGGAUGACGGCCUUCGGGUUGUAACCUCCUUGCGACCGCGAGGAAGCGCCUUGGUUGGAGGGGUGGUGACGGUAGUGGUAGAAGAAGCACCGGCUAACUACGUG
rnacentral:rRNA from 1 species